rnacentral:sRNA from 1 species
UUUUACUAUUUUUAGCUAUGAUUUAGGUAUAGGUUUUAGAGUCCUUUUGUUAUUUCUAGAGUUUUUGCUAGUCUUUUUCAGGUCUUACAUGUUUGAGAUGUAUUUGGAUUAUGGAGCCAUCUGGAGCAAAACAGACAACUUAAGUUGCAGAAGCAGUUCACAGACCAAAAUCCGCGUAGGUGUCCAA